GAUAAACGCUGGCGGCGUGCCUAACACAUGCAAGUCGAACGAUCCCGCAAGGGAGAGUGGCGGAAGGGUGAGUAACACGUGGGAAUCUACCUCCUCGCAGGGAACAACCUCUCGAAAGAGAGGCUAAUACCCAAAAGGGUCAGAAAUGAUCAGAGUCGAAAGGCGUGAGGAGAGGAGCCCGCGGCCCAUCAGCUAGUUGGUGAGGUAAUGACUUACCAAGGCUACGACGGGUAGGGGAUCUGAGAGGAUGUCCCCCACACUGGAACUGAAACACGGUCCAGACGCCUACGGGUGGCAGCAGUGAGGAAUAUUGGACAAUGGGCGAAAGCCCGAUCCAGCAACGCCGCGUGGAGGAUGAAGGCCUUCGGGUCGUAAACUUCUUUAGAGGGAGACGAGAAAGGACGGUAUCCCUAGAAUAAGCGACGGCAAACUACGUAGCCAGCAGCCGCGGUAAU
rnacentral:rRNA from 1 species